rnacentral:lncRNA from 1 species
CCGGAAACCUGCACGUCCCCGCUGAAGUCAGCCAUGAGAUGGGGAGGGGGUGCAGGCGGGGAGCACCUCGAGUGUCCCAUUCCUGGAGAGAGGGUGCAGGCACACGUGGGUGCUGUGUGGGUGCAUGCAUCCAUGGGGCACUGGUGCUGUGUGGGUGCUGUGUGGGUGCAUGCAUCCAUGGGGCUUUCCCCCUUUUGCAGUGGUGAAUUCUGGCAAAGACUCAGCCCAUCUUUUGCACACACAGAGCUGGAGCUGGAGCUCCGAAAAUCACAAAACCAUGACAGCUGGCUGGGGGCAGAGCCCCAAAUUUAUGGCCCUAACACAGACCCCUCCCUCACCCAGGCACUGUGGGGUCACGGUGUCCCUGCAUCUGGGUGGGACAGGAGCACUGGGGUGUUGGCCCCAAGGGAAGGGGAUGUCCUUGUGUCACCACCGUCCCUUUCCCCUUGAGGACACGGGAUCCCGAUGUGGCUGCAGAAGAGGAUGGUUAGCAAGCAGCCCCCGUGUUUACAUAGGGUGACUCGCAACCCCCCCGCACACCGCCCUCCCCCUCGGUGGCAGCUCCUCUUGAGGUUUAAGGUGACAUCCUGCCUGCCGUGCCAUCCCCCCCCCCGGGCCUCAUGGGGCAGGGAAAAGAAUGCCAAUUUUGCUUUUGAAAGCCACCAAGAGAGGGAAAGCAGCGAGAUAGAAAUGGGGGGAACGUCCUCCUGUUGGAGCAGGUGGAACAUUUUGCAUCAGUGCUCUGUUUUGGGGGCAAUGGGAUGUGUGGCAAUGGGAUCAGACCCAAGCACUGGAGACUGCCCCAAGCAUCCCAUCCACGCUACCCACAGCCCUGGGCACCCCCAGCAGCAUCACCAUAUGGAGAUAGGGGCAGGAGGGUGCCUGCAUCCCACCUGCUUUCCCUGGGGGAUGCUAUGGGGACAGGGAUGGGAUGGGGAUGGGGAGAGGAUGAGGAUUGGGUGGAGAUAGGAUGGGGUGAGGGUGAGGAUGGGGUGAGGAUGAGGAUAAGGGUGGUGAUGGGGAUGAGAUGGGGAUGGGAUGGAUGUGGGAUGGGAUGAGAUGAGGAUGGGGAUGGCGGUGAGGAUGAGAUGGGCAUGGGGAUGGAGAGGGGGUGAGGAUGGGGUGAGGAUGAGGAUGGGGAUGAGGAUAAGGGUGGAGAUGGGGAUGGAAUGGGAUGAGGAUGGGGAUGGGGAUGGGAUGAGGAUGGGGAUGGUGAUGGGAUGAGGAUGGAGAUGAGAUGGGGAUGGGAUGGGGAGAGAUGAGGAUGGGGAUGGAAGUGAGGAUGAGAUGGGGAUGGGGAUAGGGAUGAGGAUAAGGGUGGUGAUGGGGAUGAGAUGGGGAUGGGGAUGGGGACAGGGAUGAGGAUAAGGGUGGUGAUGGGGAUGAGAUGGGGAUGGGAUGGGAUGGGGAUGGGGAUGAGAUGGGGAUGGGAUGGGAUCAGAUGAGGAUGGGGAUGGCAGUGAGGCUGAGAUGGGGAUGGGAUGGGGAUGGGAUGGGGAUGGGAUGGGGAUGGGAGCCCCCCUGUCCCCGUGCAUUGAUGCAGGAGCACAGUUCCCCUGCACAUGGGGCCGGGGAAAGCCGUUCACUUGGCACCCGCUUGCUCCGCGCACGCAGUGUGAUGCAGAGAUAAGAUAAAGCCGUCUGUCGGCUGCCAAGUUAAACUGAGGUCACAGCAAACCCCGUGCCCCCGCCGUGCCGGGCGACACGCACGCAGCGGUGCAUUCUUUAAUUUCAGGCAAAUUUCUGUCCUUCAACUCUGGGUUGAUGGAAUGGCAUCGCUUUGAACAGCACGGAGCUCCAAGCAGAGCUGGUAUCGGGGCAGAGGGUUCUGUGCUGCUUUUUGCCUAAUACUACGCUGUGAGCAAAGUGCUGCGUGUCAUACAACCAUCCCUCCGUAGGAGAGCUCUGGGGCAAAAGGUUUGGGUUUAUGUCAUGGGGUUGGUGCUCCCCCAAGGCACUCAAUCCUGAG